AAAGUGCAGCAAGGAGUAUUUGGAGCGCUUCCGGCGAGAGGGCAAUGAGAAGGAGAUGCAGAGGUGCGUGGGGUCCUCCUGUCAUCCUCUCUGGUGGGCACAGGGCAAGAAAGAAGGAAGGCGGCUUUCGCCUAGGAGGCUGGUGGUCAGUGGGAAAUGGAAUUUGGAGGGUGUGUAGGAGUUCACCCUGCCCGUUUACUCAGGAUCCUGCUGAACUCGGAGCGACUCAAGUCUCGAAUCGCGGAGAUACAUGAAAGCCGCACGAAGCUGGAGCAGGAUCUGCGGGCGCAGGCCUCGGACAAUCGAGAGAUUGACAAGCGCAUGAACAGCCUCAAGCCUGAUCUCAUGCAGCUGCGCAAGAUCAGGGACCAGUACCUCGUGUGGCUCACCCAGAAAGGUGCCCGACAGAGGAAGAUCAACGAGUGGCUGGGAAUCAAGAAUGAGACUGAGGACCAGUAUUCACUGAUGGAGGAUGAGGACGCCCUCCCCCACCAUGAGGAGCGCACGUGGUACGUGGGCAAGAUCAACCGCACACAGGCGGAGGAGAUGCUGAGUGGCAAACGAGACGGGACCUUCCUCAUCCGGGAGAGCAGCCAGCGGGGCUGUUACGCAUGCUCUGUGGUGGUGGAUGGCGACACGAAGCACUGUGUCAUCUACCGCACAGCCACUGGCUUUGGCUUCGCAGAGCCCUAUAACCUGUACGGAUCCCUGAAGGAGCUGGUAUUGCACUAC
rnacentral:lncRNA from 1 species